rnacentral:rRNA from 1 species
GACUACGGGAGGCUGCAGUAGGGAAUCUUCCGCAAUGGACGAAAGUCUGACGGAGCAACGCCGCGUGAAGGAAGAAGGCUUUCGGGUUGUAAACUUCUUUGAUCGGGGACGAAGAUGACGGUACCCGAGGAACAAGCCACGGCUAACUACGUGCCAGCAGCCGCGGUAAUACGUAGGUGGCAAGCGUUGUCCGGAAUUACUGGGUGUAAAGGGCGUGUAGGCGGGAGGACAAGUCAGAUGUGAAAGCCCAUGGCUUAACUGUGGAAUUGCAUCUGAAACUGUUUUUCUUGAGUGCUGGAGAGGAAAGUGGAAUUCCUAGUGUAGCGGUGAAAUGCGUAGAGAUUAGGAGGAACACCAGUGGCGAAGGCGGCUUUCUGGACAGUAACUGACGCUGAGGCGCGAAAGCGUGGGGAGCAAACAGGAUUAGAUACCCUGGUAGUC